GCCGAGCAUCUCCUCAGAGAGAGAGAGAGUCCCAACUGGCUUAGCCAUUCAACAGGGACUAGUUUCAUCCCUAUAGAUCCAAGUGCAUUCCUUAUUUAAUAAACCAGUGAUUGCAGAAUGAGACUUCUGACUGUCCAGUUUGACUGAAUUCAUGGAGCAUCUUAGAAUGGAGAUCAAACAUCUGCAGAGGAACAGAAUGUGAAGAACAUCUCACGAUAUUCACAAAUAGAUUAUCACUAAUCAUCUUUAAAGUAGAGCAGUGUGUUGACAGAUUAAGUCUACGUUUACUGCUAUUCCUCCAGCUCUUUAUUUAAGAAAGCAGCUUGCUCACAGUAAUUAGUUUGCCACGGGAAGGAUG